CCUACGGGGGGCAGCAGUGGGGAAUAUUGCACAAUGGGGGAAACCCUGAUGCAGCGACGCCGCGUGAGUGAAGAAGUAUUUCGGUAUGUAAAGCUCUAUCAGCAGGGAAGAAAAUGACGGUACCUGAUUAAGAAGCCCCGGCUAACUACGUGCCAGCAGCCGCGGUAAUACGGAGGAUGCGAGCGUUAUCCGGAUUUAGUGGGUUUAAAGGGUGCGUAGGCGGAUUUUUAAGUCAGCGGGAAAAUGUCCGGGCUCAACCCGGGCCGGCCGUUGAAACUGGGGAUCUUGAGUGGGCGAGAGGUAUGCGGAAUGAGUGGUGUAGCGGUGAAAUGCAUAGAUAUCACGCAGAACUCCGAUUGCGAAGGCAGCAUACCGGCGCCCGACUGACGCUGAGGCACGAAAGCGUGGGGAUCGAACAGGAUUAGAUACCCUAGUAGUC
rnacentral:rRNA from 1 species